AGGGAGAUUGUUGGAUCAUAUGGUAAAAUUAAGCUUAGUUUCAGGAGAGAUUCUCAAAUCAUUUUCCAAAAUGGCUAUACAAUUUCACAUUCCCACCACCAAU
rnacentral:pre_miRNA from 1 species